rnacentral:rRNA from 1 species
AUGUACGCGCCCCCCUCCUCCCUGCCACCGACCGUAUCGAACGCCGCGAGGGGAAGCUCAGCUCAUGCUCAGCUCGUCUCCUCUCCUCCUCUCGCAGGGCCGCCGCGGGGACGCUUCGCCGACAUGAUUCUGGCCAACGCCACCAUCUACACCGCCGACCCCGCCCGCCCCUUCGCCGCCGCCAUGGCCGUCCGCGCCGGCCGCGUCCUCCGCGUCGGCACCUACGACUCCCUCAAGGAAUUCAAGGGCCGCCACACGUAUGAGUUGAAUCUCAGUGGCAAUGUGGUGCUCCCAGGAUUCAUCGACUCCCAUGUGCACCUAAUCGACGGCGGCCUGCAGCUGGCGAGGGUGCCGCUUCGAGGGGUUAGGAGCAAAGACGAGUUCAUCAGCAGGGUGCAGGGAGCCGUCAGAGAUAAACAUCCUGGCGGGUGGGUGCGCGGAGGAGGGUGGAACAAUGAUUUCUGGGGCGGUGAAUUCCCCACUGCUGCUUGGUUAGACGAUAUAUCUCCUGAUAAUCCAGUUUGGCUCUCACGCAUGGAUGGUCACAUGGGACUAGCCAAUUCACUAGCUAUGAAGAUUGCUGGGAUUGACAAAAACACAAAUGACCCAGUUGGUGGAACUAUUGUAAGAACAACGGAAAGAGAGCCCACUGGUCUUCUGGUUGAUGCUGCUAUGAAGCUUGUAUUUGAUGUGGUUCGAGAAGACUCUGUUAAUGAAAGGCGAGAGGCUCUCCUUAGAGCAAGUAGACACGCUCUAAUGAGAGGGGUGACUACUGUUGUUGAUGUUGGAAGUUAUUUCCCUGGAACCUCAGAAGAGCAAACUUGGCAAGAUUUUUCAGAUGUGUAUGAAUGGGCUCAUUCUAUGGGAAAGAUGAUGAUCAGAGUCUGCUUAUUCUUCCCAAUGCCGACAUGGCCUCGUGUUUCUGAUCUUAUUCAUGAAAGAGGUCGAUCUUUAAGUGGGUGGAUUCAUCUAGGUGGUGUGAAAGCUUUUCUUGAUGGUUCUUUGGGUUCCUCAAGUGCAUGGUUCUAUGAGCCUUAUGAGGAUGCUCCUGGCGAUUAUGGUCUCCAAUUGUUAGAUAUGGAUGUUCUGCUGAAUGCAACAUUAGAAUCAGACAAAUCGGGACUUCAGGUUGCCAUACAUGCAAUUGGAGAUAAAGCUAACGAUAUGCUGCUAGAUAUGUUCGACAAGGUUGUUAGUUUGAAUGGAACGAAGGACCGUAGGUUCCGGAUUGAGCAUGCUCAGCAUCUAUCCCCAGGUGCAGCAAAGCGCUUCGGAGAGCAUGGCAUCAUUGCAUCUGUGCAGCCAGAUCAUUUGUUGGACGAUGCCGACUCUGCUGGAAAGAAGAUCGGGGUAGAACGAGCUGAGCGGAGCUCCUAUUUAUUUCGGUCACUAUUGGCCGGUGGCGCACAUCUGGCUUUUGGUUCUGAUUGGCCUGUUUCAGAUAUUUACCCCUUGCAAGCGAUUAAAACCGCGAUGUCCCGCCAACUGCCUGGAUGGGAGGCGCCCUGGAUCGCCACGGAGCGCUUGCCCCUAGACGACUCCUUGAAAGCGCACACGAUAUCUGCCGCCUACGCCUGCUUCCUGGACCAUGUUGUGGGCAGCCUCGCCGAAGGGAAGUACGCCGAUUUCGUGGUCCUGCCGUCCACCUCGUGGCGCGAGUUCGCCGACGACAUCCCGGGGCACGUCCUGGCGACAUAUGUGAACGGCAAGCAGGCCUAUCCGUAG